ACGGAUUACGCCGCGUGAGUGAUGAAGGUCUUCGGAUCGUACAACUCUGUUGUUAGGGAAGAACAAGUGCAUAGUAACUGAUGGCACCUUGACGGUACCUAACCAGAAAGCCACGGCUAACUACGUGCCAGCAGCCGCGGUAAUACGUAGGUGGCAAGCGUUGUCCGGAAUUAUUGGGCGUAAAGCGCUCGCAGGCGGCUCUUAAAGUCUGAUGUGAAAUCUUACGGCUCAACCGUAAACGUGCAUUUGGAAACUGGGGAACUUGAGUGCAGAAGAGGACAGUGGAAUUCCACGUUGUAGCCGUGUGAAAUGCGUACAGAUGUGGAGGAACACCAGUGGCGAAGGCGAAUCUCUGGUCUGUAACUUGACGCUUGAGGAGCUGAACAAGCGUGGGGAGCG
rnacentral:rRNA from 1 species